UGCAGUUCAAGUACUUUGGGAAACACAUUCACUAUUUCAGACCAUUCAGGCAGCUUAUUGCUGCAAUACCUCAGGGAACAGUUUAUUCUUUAAGAAAAUUUGGUGGAGUGUUCUUGAAUUUUUGUUUUCUAAGGACCUCUGUACCUAUAAUCUAAAAUUUUAGUAUCUCUAUUUUUCUAGAAUAAAAGAUACCAUGCACUAAAGCCACCAGUUCAAA
rnacentral:lncRNA from 1 species